CUGGUUGAUCCUGCCAGUAGUGAUAUGCUUGUUUCAAAGAUUAAGCCAUGCAUGUCUAAGUAUAAGCGAACUUAUACAGUGAAUCUGCGGAUGGCUCAUUAAAACAGUUUGAAUUUAUUAGAUGAAUGUAUGAGAAUACUACUUGGAUAACCGUAGUAAUUCUAGAGCUAAUACAUGCAACGACGCCCGACCGUUUCACUACGGAAGGGCUGUAUUUAUUGGAUACCAAAACCAUCCUUCCCUCGGGAAGUUUUGUUUGAUGAUUCACAAUAACUGAUCGGAUCGCCACUGUGGUGGCGACAGGUCAUUCAACAUUCUGCCCUAUCAGCUUUCGAUGGUUGUGUAGUGGACAACCAUGGCCAUAACGGGUAACGGAGAAUCAGGGUUCGAUUCCGGAGAAGGAGCUUGAGAAUUGGCUACUACAUCUAAGGAAGGCAGCAGGCGCGCAAAUUACCCAAUCCCGAUUCGGGGAGGUAGUGACAAAAAAUAACAAUACCGGGCCUUUUUGGGCUUGGUAAUUGGAAUGAGGGAGAGUUAAACGGACCAUCGAGUAUCCAUUGGAGGGCAAGUCUGGUGCCAGCAGCUACGGUAAUACCAGCUCCAAUAGCGUAUAUUAAAGUUGUUGCAGUUAAAAAGCUCGUAGUUGGACUUGUGUGCGCUGUCCGCGGGUGGCCUGCGCCCAAAAGGGCGUUUCGGUUCGGCCCCGGUGGCGCCUUGAAAUCUGCAGCUGGGGGGACGUUGGCCUUAACUGGUCGGCGACCGCACGCCGGCUGCUCGGUUACUGUGAGAAAAUUAGAGUGUUCAAGGCAGGCAUUGGGUGCAAUUGAAUACAUUAGCAUGGAAUAAUAAAAUAUGGCUCCUGCCGUAUUUUGUUGGUUUUGACUGGUGGGAGUAAUGAUUGAUAGGGACGGUUGGGGGUGCUAGUAUUGAGCGGCCAGAGGUGAAAUUCAUGGAUUCGCUCAAGACUAACUUAUGCGAAAGCAUUCACCAAGGACGUCCUCUUUAAUCAGGAACGAAAGUUGGGGGAUCGAGGACGAUCAGAUACCGUCGUAGUCUCAACCAUAAACUAUGUCGACUUGGGAUCGGCGGUAGUUUUUUCAUUAAGACACUGUCGGGACCACGGGAGAAAUCAAAGUGUCUGGACUCUGGGGGAAGUAUGGUCGCAAGGCUGAAACUUGAAGGAAUUGACGGAAGGGCACCACCAGGAGUGGAGCCUGCGGCUUAAUUUGACCCAACACGGGGAAACUUACCAGGUCCAGAGAUGUAGAGGAUUGGCAGAUUGAAGCUCUUUCUUGAUCACUUCGGUGGUGGUGCAUGGCCGUUCUUAGUUGGUGGA
rnacentral:rRNA from 1 species